UACGUAGGGUGCAAGCGUUAAUCGGAAUUAUUGGGCGUAAAGGGCGCGUAGGCGGUGCGGUAAGUCACCUGUGAAAUCUCCUGGCUCAACUGGGAGCUUGCAGGCGAAACUGCCGUGCUGGAGUGUGGGAGAGGUGCGUGGAAUUCCUGGUGUAGCGGUGAAAUGCGCAGAUAUCAGGAGGAACACCGGUGGCGAAGGCGGCACUCUGGGCCGGUACUGACGCUGAGGAGCGAAAGCGUGGGGAGCGAACAGG
rnacentral:rRNA from 1 species